rnacentral:rRNA from 1 species
UACGAAGGGGGCUAGCGUUGCUCGGAAUUACUGGGCGUAAAGCGCACGUAGGCGGUUUGUUAAGUCGGAUGUGAAAUCCCUCGGCUCAACUGAGGAAGUGCAUCCGAAACUGGCAGGCUUGAGUACUAAAGAGGGUCGCGGAAUUCCCGGUGUAGAGGUGAAAUUCGUAGAUAUCGGGAGGAACACCGGUGGCGAAGGCGGCGACCUGGGUAGAUACGUGACGCUGAGGUGCGAAAGCGUGGGGAGCAAACAGGG